GACGAACGCUGGCGGCGUGCCUAAUACAUGCAAGUCGAACGAGAGCGACCGGUGCUUGCACUGGUCAAUCUAGUGGCGAACGGGUGAGUAACACGUGGGUAACCUGCCCAUCAGAGGGGGAUAACAUCCGGAAACGGAUGCUAAAACCGCAUAGGUCUUCGAGCCGCAUGGCUUGAUGAGGAAAAGAGGCGCAAGCUUCUGCUAUUGGAUGAUCCCGCGGUGCAUUAGCUAGUUGGUGAGGUAACGGCUCACCAAGGCCGUGAUGCAUAGCCGACCUGAGAGGGUGAUCGGCCACAAUGGGACUGAGACACGGCCCAAACUCCUACGGGAGGCAGCAGUAGGGAAUCUUCCGCAAUGGACGAAAGUCUGACGGAGCAACGCCGCGUGAGUGAAGAAGGUUUUCGGAUCGUAAAACUCUGUUGUUAGAGAAGAACAAGUGCGAGAGUAACUGUUAGCGCCUUGACGGUAUCUAACCAGAAAGCCACGGCUAACUACGUG
rnacentral:rRNA from 1 species